AGUAAAAGUCGUAACAAGGUUUCCGUAGGUGAACCUGCGGAAGGAUCAUUACCUAGAGUUGCGGGCUUUGCCUGCCAUCUCUUACCCAUGUCUUUUGAGUACCUUCGUUUCCUCGGCGGGUUCGCCCGCCGAUUGGACAAAACUUAAACCCUUUGUAAUUGAAAUCAGCGUCUGAAAAAAACAUAAUAGUUACAACUUUCAACAACGGAUCUCUUGGUUCUGGCAUCGAUGAAGAACGCAGCGAAAUGCGAUAAGUAGUGUGAAUUGCAGAAUUCAGUGAAUCAUCGAAUCUUUGAACGCACAUUGCGCCCCUUGGUAUUCCAUGGGGCAUGCCUGUUCGAGCGUCAUUUGUACCUUCAAGCUCUGCUUGGUGUUGGGUGUUUGUCUCGCCUCUGCGCGCAGACUCGCCUCAAAACGAUUGGCAGCCGGCGUAUUGAUUUCGGAGCGCAGUACAUCUCGCGCUUUGCACUCACAACGACGACGUCCAAAAAGUACAUUUUUACACUCUUGACCUCGGAUCAGGUAGGGAUACCCGCUGAACUUAAGCAUAUCAAUAAGCGGAGGAAAAGAAACCAACAGGGAUUGCCCUAGUAACGGCGAGUGAAGCGGCAACAGCUCAAAUUUGAAAUCUGGCGUCUUCGGCGUCCGAGUUGUAAUUUGCAGAGGGCGCUUUGGCAUUGGCAGCGGUCCAAGUUCCUUGGAACAGGACGUCACAGAGGGUGAGAAUCCCGUACGUGGUCGCUAGCCUUUACCGUGUAAAGCCCCUUCGACGAGUCGAGUUGUUUGGGAAUGCAGCUCUAAAUGGGAGGUAAAUUUCUUCUAAAGCUAAAUACUGGCCAGAGACCGAUAGCGCACAAGUAGAGUGAUCGAAAGAUGAAAAGCACUUUGGAAAGAGAGUUAAAAAGCACGUGAAAUUGUUGAAAGGGAAGCGCUUGCAGCCAGACUUGCCUGUAGUUGCUCAUCCGGGUUUCUACCCGGUGCACUCUUCUAUAGGCAGGCCAGCAUCAGUUUGGGCGGUUGGAUAAAGGUCUCUGUCAUGUACCUCCUUUCGGGGAGAUCUUAUAGGGGAGACGACAUGCAACCAGCCUGGACUGAGGUCCGCGCAUCUGCUAGGAUGCUGGCGUAAUGGCUGUAAGCGGCCCGUCUUGAAACACGGACCAAGGAGUCUAACAUCUAUGCGAGUGUUUGGGUGUCAAGCCCGAACGCGUAAUGAAAGUGAACGGAGGUGGGAACCUUUCGGGGUGCACCAUCGACCGAUCCUGAUGUCUUCGGAUGGAUUUGAGUAAGAGCAUAGCUGUUGGGACCCGAAAGAUGGUGAACUAUGCUUGAAUAGGGUGAAGCCAGAGGAAACUCUGGUGGAGGCUCGCAGCGGUUCUGACGUGCAAAUCGAUCGUCAAAUUUGGGCAUAGGGGCGAAAGAC
rnacentral:misc_RNA from 1 species